rnacentral:rRNA from 1 species
AGAGUUUGAUCCUGGCUCAGAACGAACGCUGGCGGCAGGCUUAACACAUGCAAGUCGAACGCAUCCUUCGGGAUGAGUGGCAGACGGGUGAGUAACGCGUGGGAAUCUACCUAUUUCUGCGGAAUAACACAGGGAAACUUGUGCUAAUACCGCAUACGCCUCGCAAGAGGGAAAGAUUUAUCGGAGAUAGAUGAGCCCGCGUCUGAUUAGCUAGUUGGUGGGGUAAUGGCCUACCAAGGCGACGAUCAGUAGCUGGUCUGAGAGGAUGAUCAGCCACACUGGGACUGAGACACGGCCCAGACUCCUACGGGAGGCAGCAGUGGGGAAUAUUGGACAAUGGGCGCAAGCCUGAUCCAGCCAUGCCGCGUGAGUGAUGAAGGCCCUAGGGUUGUAAAGCUCUUUCAGUAGGGAAGAUAAUGACGGUACCUACAGAAGAAGCCCCGGCUAACUUCGUG